rnacentral:rRNA from 1 species
GACAGAGGGUGCAAACGUUAAUCGGAAUUACUGGGCGUAAAGCGUGCGCAGGCGGUUUUGUAAGUCUGUCGUGAAAGCCCCGGGCUCAACCUGGGAAUUGCGAUGGAGACUGCAAGGCUUGAAUCUGGCAGAGGGGGGUAGAAUUCCACGUGUAGCAGUGAAAUGCGUAGAGAUGUGGAGGAACACCGAUGGCGAAGGCAGCCCCCUGGGUCAAGAUUGACGCUCAUGCACGAAAGCGUGGGGAGCAAACAGG